rnacentral:rRNA from 1 species
UUUCGCAAUGCCCGAAAGGGUGACGAAGCGACGCCGCGUGCGGGAAGAAGGCCUUCGGGUUGUAAACCGCUGUCGGGAGUUAAGAAAUGUAAGGAUGUUAAUAGCAUCUUUGCUUGACUAAGGCUCCGGAGGAAGCCGCGGCUAACUCUGUGCCAGCAGCCGCGGUAAUACAGAGGCGGCAAGCGUUGUUCGGAAUUAUUGGGCGUAAAGAGCACGUAGGCGGCUAUGUAAGUCGGUUGUGAAAGCCUUCCGCUCAACGGGAGAACAGCAUCCGAUACUGCAUGGCUUGAGUGCGGGAGGGGAGAGUGGAACUUCUGGUGGAGCGGUGAAAUGCGUAGAUAUCAGAAGGAACGCCGGCGGCGAAAGCGGCUCUCUGGCCCAUAACUGACGCUGAGUGUGCGAAAGCGAGGGGAGCAAACGGGAUUAGAUACCCCGGUAGUCCUAGCCCUAAACGAUGGGCACUAAGUAGAGGGGUUUUA